GCGAUACAGGGUGAUAGCCCCGUAACCGACAACGCAUUAUCAGUGAAAACGAGUAGGACGGGACACGUGUUAUCUUGUCUGAAUAUGGGGGGACCAUCCUCCAAGGCUAAAUACUCCUGACUGACCGAUAGUGAACCAGUACCGUGAGGGAAAGGCGAAAAGAACCCCUGUGAGGGGAGUGAAAUAGAACCUGAAACCGUGUACGUACAAGCAGUAGGAGCCCACUUGUUGGGUGACUGCGUACCUUUUGUAUAAUGGGUCAGCGACUUAAUUUUAGUAGCAAGGUUAACCGUUUAGGGGAGCCGUAGGGAAACCGAGUCUUAACUGGGCG
rnacentral:rRNA from 1 species